UCCCUGGUGGCUCAGAUGGUAAAGAAUCUGCCUGCAGUGCAGAAGACUCAGGUUCAAUCCCUGGGUCGGGAA
rfam:Ovis aries breed Texel chromosome 6, whole genome shotgun sequence.